UCUCUAGGCGCUGUUGUCGCUCGCAAACUGGCAGCACGGAGUGCCCGGCCGCUGUUUUGGUGUCCGUUUCGGAUGCCAGCAGAUGUAGCCGCACAAUCGUUUCGACUGUUCCAACAUCGGGGUGGAUUUGUUGGGAUACUGUCUUGUUACCGCCGACGAGAAAAGCAGGCCAGACCAGAGGAGGAAACACGCUAGAGCCGAGUGGAGGAGGACAAAGACUUCCUCUCUCUCGCUCUCUCUGUUCUGCAUCUCCACUUUUUCCUGCCUCUUCCCCUUCUCAAGCAACAUGACAGACUUUGGCGUGAAAGGAAGUGAACGCUGGCUGUGUCGGAGAGGUGGCGAUAGCAAUCUGGCUGUGACCCUUACCACGAGCUAGGAUCAAGUAGGCUGGCGAUCCCGAGUGUUUACGUGGAGUGGGCCUUUGUUGUGUCAUGCAGAUGGCGAGCGCUUCAACUGUCAUAGGUAGUCAGCCGUAUGGUUAUGCAGAAGAGCUAUGGCAGAUGUGUCGGAACUAUCAUGCAGGCUGAUAGUUAUCUCUCAGCAGUUGUCCAUAAUACAGCAGGAAGUAUGUUUGAUAGCUUCUCUCCACGGUACGAAAAACGUGUUUGUUUUUCAAUCGAAUCAGCCAUAGUCAUUUUUUUAUUUUUAUAAUUCUAAUAUAAUUCCAUACAAAUGGAUUGGUUUAAAACAUACAGUAUAAUUUGAUAUCAUUUUGACUUGCACUGUGUUUAAAGAAACUGAAACGCACACAUUAAAAGAAUUGAAAACGAUUUGACCAAUUAUUUCUUUAUUUAAGCCACAAUAAAACUUGUGCAAAUUAAUUUUGCAUUUUUGUAGCGGUAUAUUUAAAUAAUUCCAUUUCCGACAUUCCCUAUCUUGGAUCUCUCGCUUGUACUAUCUUCU